ensembl:piRNA 21ur-4659 ncRNA
UUGUUGAAACGGUAUGAAAUU